CGUAGGUAACCUGCCUGGUAGCGGGGGGUAACUAUUGGAAACGAUAGCUAAUACCGCAUAACAGUCGACAUUGCAUGAUGUUGAUUUGAAAGGGGCAAUUGCUCCACUACCAGAUGGACCUGCGUUGUAUUAGCUAGUUGGUGAGGUAACGGCUCACCAAGGCGACGAUACAUAGCCGACCUGAGAGGGUGAUCGGCCACACUGGGACUGAGACGCGGCCCAG
rnacentral:rRNA from 1 species